rnacentral:rRNA from 1 species
GACGAACGCUGGCGGCGUGCCUAAUACAUGCAAGUUGAGCGAUGAAGAUUGGUGCUUGCACCAAUUUGAAGAGCAGCGAACGGGUGAGUAACGCGUGGGGAAUCUGCCUUUGAGCGGGGGACAACAUUUGGAAACGAAUGCUAAUACCGCAUAACAACUUUAAACAUAAGUUUUAAGUUUGAAAGAUGCAAUUGCAUCACUCAAAGAUGAUCCCGCGUUGUAUUAGCUAGUUGGUGAGGUAAAGGCUCACCAAGGAGAUGAUACAUAGCCGACCUGAGAGGGUGAUCGGCCACAUUGGGACUGAGACACGGCCCAAACUCCUACGGGAGGCAGCAGUAGGGAAUCUUCGGCAAUGGACGAAAGUCGGACCGAGCAACGCCGCGUGAGUGAAGAAGGUUUUCGGAUCGUAAAACUCUGUUGGUAGAGAAGGACGUUGGUGAGAGUGGAAAGCUCAUAAAGUGACGGUAACUACCCAGAAAGGGACGGCUAACUACGUG